rnacentral:lncRNA from 1 species
GACUCAAAGAAAACAAAGUUGGUGGAAGGGAAUCAAAAUGACGAUGUAGAAUUUGAGAGUUUUGGACAAAUUUUCUAGCAAUUUAAAUGCUUUUAUUGAGCGACUGCAAUCGUUAUGAAAAAAUGAAUAAUCUUAAGUUUCACCUUCUGAUCUAGGCCGACGAUACUUCGUGGUGGGUAAUUUCCUCUUGUGUUUGAAUCAUUUCACUUAUGCGUUCUCUUGACUAUCUAUAGUGUGUUUGAUAUUGAAUUGAACAAUCAAUAUCAAUUUCUUUCGUAAUGUUUUUUACUUCCUGUACAUUGAAACUUUGAUUCUUUCAUUGCGUUUCUGAGUAAGAAGAUUAGUGGUAUAGUCAUUAAAUCAAACGAACUAACAUUGAGAUCAAGUUACCUACAAUAUUUUGAUGAUGAAUUGUGCGAGUUCUAAAUCUCUUGGUGAACUAAAUUAGGUUUUGUUCAUACACCUUUUUUUCCCUCAAUGUUAACAAUAUUCGCUAAAUGUAACUUCAAUUUUCUCUCUUGAUGAAAUUUUCUUUAUCGUCCUUUAUGAGUUCGUUUAUCUAGAUCCGAGCACAAAUUUCUCUCUUAUGUGUACUCAAUGUUUUCUUUUGAAUUUUCUGGCCAGGGCAAAAUUUUCUUUCCACUGCAUCAAGUAGUCUCCAUUGUUUGCACGAAUUCUUACUUCAUAUUUUUGGAUGAUACAUUUCUUGUUCUAUUAUUUCCUAAAUUGGAAGAAGAUUAAAAAUUUACGGAAGUUCAAUGGAACUCAUCCAUGAUCCAAAGGCAAGCUUUCUUUCAUACAUACGAUUUUACAUUAUUGAACAAAUUCACUAAUAGAAGGCAAGUUUUCUUUGAUUAACAUUUAUAUGAUUUAUAAUUCUUUUAGAUCUCUGCUAUAAUUUUCCCACAAAUCAUCUGAAAUCACAAAAUUGAGUUUAGUUUUAUGCAAUAUAUAAAUGCAUUGUGGUGAAAUUAUAUCUUCUUUCUGAUUUUUUGUUCUUUCUUUUGCAUGAUUCGUGGAAGGAAUCAAUUCAUUGGCUAUCCAUCCAUGAUUCAGAAUAUAUAUGAGGAAAGAUUGUGUAACAUUGCUUUGAAAGCAAAUUCGACCGGACCGUGGUGCUAAUCUUAAUGCCGGUUGCUUCCCAAGGUUAACAUAACUCUCUACUUCUGGCGUACACUCGCCGAAAAUAGGAAUAGAAACGAUGAAUACUAAACACACUAGAAUUUUGUAUCGAUAGGGAGGAUGGUGUAUCGGUAGAGAGAAAUGUAGAGUGGAGAUUGUGUAUUAAAUGAAUGAAAUGAAAUGAUCAAUUUCAUCGUGCCUUUCUACUAUAAAGGUGUUUAGAA